AAGCAGAGCUCCAUCAGUCUCUUUUGGAGAGCUGUGAACGUGACCAGACCUAUUAAUUACUUAACUGAGGUGCUGAACUUUGAAAAUGAAAGUUCCGGUGGGGAGUUCUGUCCUUUCCAGCCUGGGGAGCUCUGUCAGGGCUCUCCUGAGCGUCUCUUUCAGCUUAUCAAGCUCGCUCGGGGACCGUCUCUGAGAGAGAGUCUCACUCUGUCACCCAGGCUGGAGUGCAGUGGCAUGAUCUCGGCUCACUGCAACCUCCGCCUCCUGGGUUCAAGUGAUUCUCCUGCCACAGCCCCUUGAGUAGUUGACGUUACAGGCACCCACCACCGCACCCAGAUACUUUUCGUAUUUUUAGUGGAGACGCUGUUUCACCAUGUUGGCCAGUUGGUCUCGAACUCCUGACCUCAAGUGAUCUGCCUGCCUUGGCCUCCCUAUGUGCUGGGUUAUAGGCGUAAGCCACUGUGCCCUGCUUCAUGUCAUUUUUAAAGAGCCCACACAACUCCUGUAGCUGCAUUACGACAACCUCAACGGCAAGACCUCGACGUGAUAUUACUCCACGUGAAAGUCUAAAAGGCGCUGAGCACAGUGCUCUGCCAAUGGUGUGUCUUCCAGCCUCGCUUGCUGAGAGAACAGAUGUGCCGGGGAAGAAAUGGACAAAGCUGGGAAAGGAGUCUAACUUCUUCAAAGCGGUUGGGCACCGGUGAGGCUCUUUUGGUUACAAACCACAGAAAUGGAUUCUGGUUUAUCAGUUUAAUCUCGGUGUAACUAAAAGUGGGAAG
rnacentral:lncRNA from 10 species